rnacentral:rRNA from 1 species
UACGGAGGGUGCAAGCGUUGUUCGGAUUUACUGGGCGUAAAGGGCGCGUAGGCGGCCACCGCAAGUCAGUUGUGAAAUCUCUGGGCUUAACCCAGAAAGGUCAACUGAUACUGCGGGGCUAGAGUGCAGAAGGGGCAACUGGAAUUCUCGGUGUAGCGGUGAAAUGCGUAGAUAUCGAGAGGAACACCUGCGGCGAAGGCGGGUUGCUGGGCUGACACUGACGCUGAGGCGCGAAAGCUAGGGGAGCGAACGGG